AUUGAACGCUGGCGGCAGGCUUAGCACAUGCAAGUCGAGCGGGGGAGGUUGCUUCGGUAACUGACCUAGCGGCGGACGGGUGAGUAAUGCUUAGGAAUCUGCCUAUUAGUGGGGGACAACAUCUCGAAAGGGAUGCUAAUACCGCAUACGUCCUACGGGAGAAAGCAGGGGACCUUUGGGCCUUGCGCUAAUAGAUGAGCCUAAGUCGGAUUAGCUAGUUGGUGGGGUAAAGGCCGACCAAGGCGACGAUCUGUAGCGGGUCUGAGAGGAUGAUCCGCCACACUGGGACUGAGACACGGCCCAGACUCCUACGGGAGGCAGCAGUGGGGAAUAUUGGACAAUGGGGGGAACCCUGAUCCAGCCAUGCCGCGUGUGUGAAGAAGGCCUUUUGGUUGUAAAGCACUUUAAGCGAGGAGGAGGCUACUGGUAUUAAUACUACCGGAUAGUGGACGUUACUCGCAGAAUAAGCACCGGCUAACUCUGUGCCAGCCGCCGCUGUAACAC
rnacentral:rRNA from 1 species